UAGUUGAUUUGUCCUGACGCCCUAACUGU
rnacentral:piRNA from 1 species